UACGUAGGGGGCAAGCGUUGUCCGGAUUUAUUGGGCGUAAAGAGCGUGUAGGCGGCCAGACAGGUCCGUUGUGAAAACUCGAGGCUCAACCUCGAGAUGUCGAUGGAAACCGUCUGGCUAGAGUCCGGAAGAGGAGUGUGGAAUUCCUGGUGUAGCGGUGAAAUGCGCAGAUAUCAGGAGGAACACCGGUGGCGAAGGCGGAUCUCUGGGCCUUACCUGACGCUCAGGCGCGAAAGCUAGGGGAGCGAACUGG
rnacentral:rRNA from 1 species